rnacentral:rRNA from 1 species
GACGAACGCUGGCGGCGUGCUUAACACAUGCAAGUCGAACGCUGAAGCUCAGCUUGCUGGGUGGAUGAGUGGCGAACGGGUGAGUAACACGUGAGUAACCUGCCCUCUUCUUUGGGAUAACGCCCGGAAACGGGUGCUAAUACUGGAUAUUCACUGAUUCUCGCAUGGGGGUUGGUGGAAAGGUUUUUUCUGGUGGGGGAUGGGCUCGCGGCCUAUCAGCUUGUUGGUGGGGUGAUGGCCUACCAAGGCGUUGACGGGUAGCCGGCCUGAGAGGGUGACCGGUGACAUUAGGACUGGGAUACGGCCCAGACGCCUACGGGAGGCAGCAGUGGGGAAUAUUGCACAAUGGGCGAAAGCCUGAUGCAGCGACGCCGCGUGAGGGAUGGAGGCCUUCGGGUUGUAAACCUCUUUCGCUCAUGGUCAAGCCGCAGCUUUGGGUUGUGGUGAGGGUAGUGGGUAAAGAAGCGCCGGCUAACUACGUG